GGCACUACAAGUGACAUGCCACUGGGCAGGAUUAUCCUUUCUACUCUCCUACUUUCUGAACUACUUUUCUCCCUCUGUAAGUCUUAAAGAAGUUCAAUGAGCUAUAAGUGAACUCAGGUAGACAACUCAACAAAAUCAAGAAGACAAUACAUGAACAAAAUGAUACUUUGAAUAAAUAAAUAUAAACCAUAAAAAACUUGAAUUAUUCAGUUCAGUCAUAAUACAUGACUUUAAACUUCAAAACAGUUUGUUAUAGUACAGCCAAAAUCAUUAAAAUUGGUCAGCUAAGAAGUAUAUAUUUUUUCUAGUUCUCUAAUGGAUAGCUGUACAUUAUAUUCACAACUUACAAAAUCUGUCCAGCAAGAUAACAGAUUAGAAGACACUUAACAUUGCUUCCCCCACAAAGGUAUAAGCAGUAACUAUUCAAAGACAAUAAAACUACCCUGAAGUUACUAGAACUUGAGAGAGAAGCAGAGGAACUGAUGGAGCCUGCAGAAAUGAGAGAAGCUGUGACUGAUAAAUGACGAUUUUAGAAUCUGCCACCCACUACCCCAAGCCACAUAACAGCUCACAGAAAAUUUCUAUACAUUUAGGAUGUCUGAGUUGGAAGAAAUUCGAAGUUGAAAAUAAACAUUCAAUUUCCCUAUCAGUUGAGGAGGCUUCAUGGGAAGUCUACAUGGGUCUCAUCCCAUGGAAAACACUGAGAGUUCCAGGAGGGCUGAAUGACCUGAGUGAACUGAAGAUAAAAUCAGGAGAGCUGAUUGCAGCAACUGUCCUG
rnacentral:lncRNA from 10 species